UUAAGUGACUAAGCGUACACGGUGGAUGCCUUGGCAGUCAGAGGCGAUGAAAGACGUAGUAACUUGCGAUAAGCCCAGAUUAGGUAGUAACAACCAUUUGAGUCUGGGAUUUCUGAAUGGGGAAACCCACGUGCAUAAGCACGUAUCCUUACCUGAAUACAUAGGGUAAGGAGGCGAACCGGGGGAACUGAAACAUCUAAGUACCCCGAGGAAAAGAAAUCAACCGAGAUUCCGAAAGUAGCGGCGAGCGAAAUUGGACUAGCCCUUAAGCUUUACACGCGUUAGACGAACGGUCUGGAAAGUCCGACGAUACAGGGUGAUAGUCCCGUAGUUGACGACGUGUGUUCAGUGAAAUCGAGUAGGGCGGGACACGUGAUAUCCUGUCUGAAUAUGGGGGGACCAUCCUCCAAGGCUAAAUACUACUGACUGACCGAUAGUGAACCAGUACCGUGAGGGAAAGGCGAAAAGAACCCCUGUGAGGGGAGUGAAAUAGAACCUGAAACCGUGUACGUACAAGCAGUAGGAGCAGGCUUUGUCCUGUGACUGCGUACCUUUUGUAUAAUGGGUCAGCGACUUAUAUUCAGUGGCAAGGUUAACCAUCUAGGGGAGCCGUAGGGAAACCGAGUCUUAACUGGGCGUUCAGUCUCUGGAUAUAGACCCGAAACCAGGUGAUCUAGCCAUGGGCAGGUUGAAGGUUGAGUAACAUCAACUGGAGGACCGAACCGACUAAUGUUGAAAAAUUAGCGGAUGACUUGUGGCUAGGGGUGAAAGGCCAAUCAAACCUGGAGAUAGCUGGUUCUCCCCGAAAGCUAUUUAGGUAGCGCCUCGGACGAAUACUACUGGGGGUAGAGCACUGUUAAGGCUAGGGGGUCAUCCCGACUUACCAACCCUUUGCAAACUCCGAAUACCAGUAAGUACUAUCCGGGAGACACACGGCGGGUGCUAACGUCCGUCGUGGAGAGGGAAACAACCCAGACCGCCAGCUAAGGUCCCAAAUUACUACUAAGUGGGAAACGAUGUGGGAAGGCUCAGACAGCCAGGAUGUUGGCUUAGAAGCAGCCAUCAUUUAAAGAAAGCGUAAUAGCUCACUGGUCGAGUCGGCCUGCGCGGAAGAUGUAACGGGGCUAAGUAGUAAACCGAAGCUGCGGCAAUGUGCUUUUGCACAUUGGGUAGGGGAGCGUUCUGUAAGCGGUUGAAGGUGUGUGGUAACGCAUGCUGGACGUAUCAGAAGUGCGAAUGCUGACAUGAGUAACGAUAAAGGGGGUGAAAAACCUCCUCGCCGGAAGACCAAGGGUUCCUGUCCAACGUUAAUCGGGGCAGGGUAAGUCGACCCCUAAGGCGAGGCCGAAAGGCGUAGUCGAUGGGAAACGGGUUAAUAUUCCCGUACUUCUUACAAUUGCGAUGGGGGGACGGAGAAGGCUAGGUGGGCCUGGCGACGGUUGUCCAGGUUCAAGUGCGUAGGCUUGAGAGUUAGGUAAAUCCGGCUCUUUUUAAGGCUGAGACACGACGUCGAGCACCUACGGGUGUGAAGUCAUUGAUGCCAUGCUUCCAGGAAAAGCCUCUAAGCUUCAGAUUGUAAGGAAUCGUACCCCAAACCGACACAGGUGGUCGGGUAGAGAAUACCAAGGCGCUUGAGAGAACUCGGGUGAAGGAACUAGGCAAAAUGGUACCGUAACUUCGGGAGAAGGUACGCUCUUGAUGGUGAAGUCCCUUGCGGAUGGAGCUGACGAGAGUCGCAGAUACCAGGUGGCUGCAACUGUUUAUUAAAAACACAGCACUGUGCAAAAUCGUAAGAUGACGUAUACGGUGUGACGCCUGCCCGGUGCCGGAAGGUUAAUUGAUGGGGUUAGACUUCGGUCGAAGCUCUUGAUCGAAGCCCCGGUAAACGGCGGCCGUAACUAUAACGGUCCUAAGGUAGCGAAAUUCCUUGUCGGGUAAGUUCCGACCUGCACGAAUGGCGUAAUGAUGGCCACGCUGUCUCCACCCGAGACUCAGUGAAAUUGAAAUCGCUGUGAAGAUGCAGUGUACCCGCGGCUAGACGGAAAGACCCCGUGAACCUUUACUACAGCUUGGCACUGAACAUUGACCCUACAUGUGUAGGAUAGGUGGGAGGCUUUGAAGCAGGUACGCCAGUAUCUGUGGAGCCGUCCUUGAAAUACCACCCUUGUAGUGUUGAUGUUCUAACGUCGACCCCUUAUCGGGGGUGCGGACAGUGCCUGGUGGGUAGUUUGACUGGGGCGGUCUCCUCCCAAAGAGUAACGGAGGAGCACGAAGGUGGGCUAAUCACGGUUGGACAUCGUGAGGUUAGUGCAAUGGCAUAAGCCCGCUUGACUGCGAGAAUGACAAUUCGAGCAGGUGCGAAAGCAGGUCAUAGUGAUCCGGUGGUUCUGAAUGGAAGGGCCAUCGCUCAACGGAUAAAAGGUACUCCGGGGAUAACAGGCUGAUACCGCCCAAGAGUUCAUAUCGACGGCGGUGUUUGGCACCUCGAUGUCGGCUCAUCACAUCCUGGGGCUGAAGUCGGUCCCAAGGGUAUGGCUGUUCGCCAUUUAAAGUGGUACGCGAGCUGGGUUUAGAACGUCGUGAGACAGUUCGGUCCCUAUCUGCCGUGGGCGUUGGAAGAUUGAAGGGGGCUGCUCCUAGUACGAGAGGACCGGAGUGGACGAACCUCUGGUGUUCGGGUUGUGUCGCCAGACGCAUUGCCCGGUAGCUAAGUUCGGAAUCGAUAACCGCUGAAAGCAUCUAAGCGGGAAGCGAGCCCUGAGAUGAGUCUUCCCUGAUACUUUAAGUAUCCUAAAGGGUUGUCGGAGACUACGACGUUGAUAGGUCAGGUGUGUAAGUGCUGUGAGGCAUUGAGCUAACUGAUACUAAUUGCCCGUGAGGCUUAACC
rnacentral:rRNA from 1 species